rnacentral:lncRNA from 1 species
GGAGGGGGCAGGGUGCAAGCGUGGGGAUCAGACCCCCACGGAGACGUGGGCUGGGAGUUCCAGAACCAUCCGGAACUUUGUCAUGCUACCCUCUGCCAUGUCCUGCUUAAGUGUGAAGGAUCAUUUGGGAAAUAAAUAGAUAAAUACACGAGGAAAGCUUUAUUAUGUUCAAUCGGAUUCAUGGAGUCUGAGAACAAGCUGCCUGAGGGAAAAAUCCAGAAACGCGAGCUCCAGCCCAUUCAUGGUGCUCAGUUUGGGGGCUGGAGGCGUUGAAGGGGGCAAUGCCCUGGAAUCCUGCUCAGCUCCUGGGACAGCGACUGCUUGGCUGAAGCAUCAAUUAUGGAUACAUGAUAUGUUUUAAAAUCUCGGACAAAGGCAGCAAAGCCAUCCAUCUGCCUUUCGGGACCAGGCUCCCCAGUCGGUGACAGCGAGGCUGCGAGGCUUCCUCUGUUUACCUCUUGCCAUGAUGGCCACGUGGACUUGUCUGAGGUCUCAGGGCUGAGAGUCCGGGCACAGCCAGAACUCCCGACCAGCAGGUGUGCACGAGGUCAGGGUGGGCGUCAGGCACCCCAGGGUUCCUGCCAGAGAAAGGGUGCCCUUCCCCACUUGGGAGAAGAAGCUGGAGAGGUUGGACCUAUUGUGAGAGGUUAUUGCUGCUUCUUGAGGGGCUUUCAUGGGGAAUUUAGAAUACAUUCACUUUUGUUUUGUUUUGUUUUUCUAGGGCCGUAGCCACAAUGUAUAGAAGUACCCAGGCUAGGAGCUGCAGCCACUGGCCUACGCCACAGCCACAGCAUCGUCAGAUCCAAGCUGCUUCUGCGACCUACACCAUAGCUCAUGGCAACACCAGAUCAUUCACCCACUGAACAAGGCCAGGGAUCCAACCUGUGUCCUCAUGGAUCCCCGUCAGGUUCGUUACCACUGAGCCACAACGGGAACUCUUAGACGGUAUUUACUUUAGACUGUGUUCAGAACCGAACCCCCAUCUCUCGCCGUCACUCCCACACUUUUUGCACCACCAUCAAACACACCUCUCACCAUCCUCCCCAACACACACACACACACACACACACACACACACACACACAUGCUCCCUGCACGUUUUCUUACUUGCCCGUCUUCCUGAGUCCCACUCUGAAGCAUCCUUCAAAUCUGCCUUCUUCUGUGUCUUCCUGGACCGCGCAGACCAGCUCUGAGCCCCGUCUCCCAGUUCCCUGUUCUCAGAGCCCUCGUGAGGUGCAGAAGGUCACGGCCGGCUCCCAAGGCCGUGUGGAUAUUCUGCCACCAGAAGCUGGGCUCUGGUUUCCAUAGGCGCCUCGGUCCCGGGAGCAGUGCCACCCACUCUCUACCUUAGAAAGCCCUCUUCUCCCCUUAUCGCUCCUCUCACGGCUCUUUGUCCCCUGGGGGUGCUUGGGUCCCUGCUUUUGACCUCAUCAUUGUGUGAUCUUUGCCAGAACGCCUGUCGUAUUGCCACUGGAUUUGCAGGAAAGAGAUGAAAGGUGUCCUUCUGUUGAGGGUGAUGGUGAAAUGGCCAAGCGGAGGGG